UACGGAGGGGGGCUAGCGUUGUUCGGAAUUACUGGGCGUAAAGCGCGCGUAGGCGGCUUUGUAAGUUAGAGGUGAAAGCCCGGAGCUCAACUCCGGAAUUGCCUUUAAGACUGCAUCGCUAGAACGUCGGAGAGGUGAGUGGAAUUCCGAGUGUAGAGGUGAAAUUCGUAGAUAUUCGGAAGAACACCAGUGGCGAAGGCGACUCACUGGACGACUGUUGACGCUGAGGUGCGAAAGCGUGGGGAGCAAACAGG
rnacentral:rRNA from 1 species